GUAGAGCAUUCGUCUUCUGGUUACGGGGCCAUAGCUCAGCUGGGAGAGCGCGUGCUUUGCAAGCAUGAGGUCGUCGGUUCGAUCCCGUCUGGCUCCACCAGAUGGUUUGAUCACCGAGAUCUUGACCGUCGUCCGCGAAACAUCACUUCGCAUCCUGCUAGUCUGGAUAGACAGCAGUUUGCGUGUUUUCUGACAUCGUAAAGAGGAGAUCGAUCCGAGUUGGGUCGUGCAGCAUAUCGUUGCGCGAGCCUUCAUUAUCUCCGGAUCAUUUCGGCGCUCGCUUCCAGCCGUGAGGUUGGAUGCGGGUUGUAAAUGAUCCUUUUAGCGAAGCUUGACCGCCUCGCUAUCGGAACGAUCUUACGAAGCAAGCUGGUCUUUCUAGUCAAUGUCCGGCUGCGGAUAGCGUUCAUCGAGGGCGCGUGCCGCAAGGCAAUUCUGCAGACAACAUUCUGCCGAGUGUGUGGACAUUGAUAAUGAGAGCAAUCAAGUGCCUUAAGGGUGUUCGGUGGAUGCCUUGGCGCUGAGAGGCGAUGAAGGACGUGCUACGCUGCGAUAAGCCGUGGGGAGCUGCGAAGAAGCUUUGAUCCGCGGAUUUCCGAA
rnacentral:misc_RNA from 1 species